GAUGAACGCUGGCGGCGUGCCUAAUACAUGCAAGUCGAACGGACAGACGAUGAGCUUGCGCCUCGGACGUUAGCCGCGGACGUGUGAGUAACACGUGUAUAACCUACCUAUAAGACUGGUAUAACUUCGGGAAACCGGAGCUAAUACGGGAGGAUAUAUUGAACCGCGUGGGGCGAUGGUGAGAUUCGGUGGUGGGGGCAGUUAUAGCUGGAUCCGCGCCGCAUUAGCUAGUUGGUAAGGUAACGGCUUACUAAGGCAAGGAUGCGUAGCCGACGUGAGAGGGUGAUCGGCCACACGGGAAGUGAGCCACGGACCAGAGUACUAAGGGACGCAGCAGUAGGGAACCGUCCGCAAUGGGCGAAAGCCUGACGGAGUAAGGGCGAGUGAGUGAUGAAGGUCCUCGGUGCGUAAAACCGUGUUAUUAGGGAAGAACCAAUGUGUACGUAACUAUGCACGUAUUGACGGUAACUAAUAAGAAAGCAACGGCUAACUACGUG
rnacentral:rRNA from 1 species